UCCCAGAAGCUAAAAUGAAGCGUUGGUCUUGUAAAUCAAAGAGUGGUUUAACCCUGAGACUA
rnacentral:tRNA from 1 species